rnacentral:rRNA from 1 species
ACCUUAAAAGAGUGCGUAAUAGCUCACUAGUCAAGCGAUCCUGCGCCGAAAAUGAACGGGGCUAAGUGAUGUACCGAAGCUGUGGGAUUGAUUUAAUUAUCAAUCGGUAGGGGAGCGUUCCGUAAUAGGUAGAAGCAGUAGCGGCGAGCAGCUGUGGACGAAACGGAAGUGAGAAUGUCGGCUUGAGUAGCGCAAACAUUGGUGAGAAUCCAAUGCCCCGAAACCCUAAGGGUUCCUCCGCCAGGUUCGUCCACGGAGGGUUAGUCGGGUCCUAAGGCGAGGUCGAAGGGCGUAGUCGAUGGACACAGGGUGAAUAAUCCCUGACUAUGAUGUGGGAGCAUUGCGAGGGACGCAUGAAAGAUAGCCAUACCCUGAUUGGUUUGGGAGGAGUUUACGAACUCCGUUUGGUGAAGGAUAGUGUCAAGAAAAGCUCGUAAUGUGAUGAAGACAUCAUACCCGUACCCGAAACCGACACAGGUAGGGAGGUUGAGAAUACCAAGGGGCGCGAGAUAACUCUCUCUAAGGAACUCGGCAAAAUGGCCCCGUAACUUCGGGAGAAGGGGUGCCCACCUAAGACGUGGGUCGCAGUGAAGAGAUCCAGGCGACUGUUUACCAAAAACACAGGUCUCCGCCAACUCGAAAGAGGACGUAUGGGGGCUGACGCCU